rnacentral:rRNA from 1 species
UGGGGAAUAUUGGACAAUGGGCGAAAGCCUGAUCCAGCAAUGCCGCGUGUGUGAAGAAGGUCUUCGGAUUGUAAAGCACUUUCGACGGGGACGAUGAUGACGGUACCCGUAGAAAAAGCCCGGCUAACUUCGUGCCAGCAGCCGCGGUAAUACGAAGGGGCGUAGCGUUGCUCGGGAAUGACUGGGCGUAAAGGGCGCGUAGGCGGUUUACACAGUCAGAUGUGAAAUUCCAGGGCUUAACCUUGGGGCUGCAUUUGAUACGUGUAGAGCUAGAGUGUGAGAGAGGGUUGUGGAAUUCCCAGUGUAGAGGUGAAAUUCGUAGAUAUUGGGAAG